rnacentral:rRNA from 1 species
AGCAGCCGCGGUAAUUCCAGCUCCAAUAGCGUAUAUUAAAGUUGUUGCAGUUAAAAAGCUCGUAGUUGAAUUUCGGGAUCAAUACGUCGGUCGUGCUUCGGUACGUACUGGUGUCAUUGAUUUCUCCCUUCUGACGAACCAUGAUGUCAUUAACUUGGUGUCAUGGGAAAUCAGGACUGUUACUUUGAAAAAAUUGAGUGUUUAAAGCAGGCUCACGCUUGAAUACAUUAGCAUGGAAUAAUGAAAUAGGACGUUCGAUCCUAUUUUGUUGGUUUCUAGGAUUAACGUAAUGAUUAAUAGGGAUAGUUGGGGGCAUUAGUAUUCAAUUGUCAGAGGUUGAAAUUCUUGGAUUUAUUGAAGACUAACUACUGCGAAAGCAUUUGCCAAGGAUGUUUCAUUAAUCAAGAACGAAGUUAGGGAUCGAAGACGAUCAGAUAC